rnacentral:lncRNA from 1 species
AUUUUACCUUUAGGACACGGUUAAAAAUUAUUGUUUCUAGAUCAUUUGGAGUAUGCAAUUUCGCUGUUGAAAUUCUACCAUAUUUUAAUUUAAUCCGAGUUAUUUGUGUUGUCUGAACUGUAUUUAUUUUCUAUCCAAAGGACUUGGAAUCAAAUCCCUCGGUGAUAUACCUUGAAAAGUAUUUGGUGAUCUGAGUUUCUUGUCGAAACGCAUUGUCAGCUGUCUAAUCCUACUUACAUAAAAGGAUUAUCGCAGAACUUUAGUUUUCCGGUUAGAAAUCAAGAAAUAUAGAAGUUACAUCAUUUGUUUUCAGAAAAAAAUAUAGAAAUGAAUCUAUUAUAAAUAUGCGAGAUGCUUGAAGCGAUCUUGCCAACUUGUUGCUAUCGAAGACUGGGUUAUAUUGUAGAACAUCAUAAAUGUUUCUUUUUAUGUCAACAGAUGACUCCACUUUCCAUUCAGUAAGUAUACUAAGUGACGGGCCGAAACAAGCCCUUCCACAGGUUGCCCACCCUUGCGGAGGGGAUAGCCGAUUGUGGACGAUGGGGAUCGAUUGUGGGUCCCAUGAUAAAUAUUUUCAAGAGGUGGGACCCGACUCUCGAACUCGAGUCGUCCAGAGUGGAA